rnacentral:rRNA from 1 species
UACGAGGGGGGCAAGCGUUGUUCGGAAUUAUUGGGCGUAAAGGGUGCGUAGGCGGUUUGGUAAGUCUUAUGUGAAAUCUACAGGCUCAACUUGUAGUCUGCAUGAGAAACUGCCGGGCUUGAGUAUGGGAGAGGUGAGUGGAAUUCCUGGUGUAGCGGUGAAAUGCGUAGAUAUCAGGAGGAACACCUGUGGCGAAAGCGGCUCACUGGACCAUAACUGACGCUGAGGUGCGAAAGCGUGGGGAGCGAACAGG